rnacentral:rRNA from 1 species
GAUGAACGCUAGCUACAGGCUUAACACAUGCAAGUCGAGGGACCGGCGCACGGGUGAGUAACACGUAUCCAACCUGCCCUUUACUCGGGGAUAGCCUUUCGAAAGAAAGAUUAAUACCCGAUAUAAAGGAUGGGGAUGCGUUCAAUUAGGUUGUUGGUGAGGUAACGACCCACCAAGCCUUCGAUGGAUAGGGGUUCUGAUAGGAAGGUCCCCCACAUUUGAACUGAGACACGGUCCAAACUCCUACGGGAGGCAGCAGUGAGUUAUAUUGGUGAAUGGGCGGUAGCCUGAACCAGCCAAGUAGCGUGAAGGAUGAAGGCUUAUGGGUCGUAAACUUCUUGUAUAGAAGAUUAUGUAUUAUAUGAAUAAGGAUCGGCUAACUCCGUGCCAGCAGCCGCGGUAAUAC